CCCCUCACCUCCUCCGACGGCUUCAAAGGGUACGGAGACCUGAGGCAGAGUCGCUCGGACGCCUGAGCUGCUCACGGAGGCCGCGAGCCUGCUCGCACCUCUCUGCCCCGGGCCUCUAUAUAGGGCCUCAGAGGAAACCGAAUGGCCUCCGGGAGGAAACCUGGGUUCGCAGAGGGUCGGCGCACGGAUUUAUGUGCUCGCCAAAAACAAUAGAGGGCCGCCCGGCUCUUGCUGGGGACCUGGCGCGGUUCCCGUGGGAGGGGGCCGACCGCACUGCGCCGACCUCUGGUUUCCUCUCGGGCGGUACCCGGCCCGCCUGGACUGUGGUGUCCCGCGUCCCCACCGUGACACUCGGCCCCGACUCAGACAAAGGUGCGGGGAGUCCACUCCAUCGCGUGCCCAGGCCAAGAUCCAACCCCGAGACUCCGUCUCCCCUGGGCUAAUUCUCUGCAGUCACUGUAGCCUUUUACCUAGGCCCUGGACGGUCACUUUGCAAUUUUGUACCUGGGAUUCAAAGUGUCUCUCGACAGAAAACCGGAGCACGCGGGAACUGGUUUUUCAACCGCCUGGUACUACUGAGGAUCGAGCUACCCAAAGUUAGGAGAAAACAGUCUGUAGUCUGCUGGCGAGAGUGCCCACACUGUUCUACGCUGAUUCUUCAAUUAGUCCUGUUGGGUUGUUGAUACGUAUGAGUUGAAUUUGUAUUUGCCCUUCAAUAGUCAAAAUCCAAGGCGUGUUUGUAUCUAGCAAAAAAAAAAAAAAAAA
rnacentral:lncRNA from 1 species